rnacentral:lncRNA from 1 species
ACGGAAUUAGAACCUCUCGUCUCAGGGUGACUGGGCUCCCCAUUGGUUCAAGUCCCCCAGUGACUGUGAAGCAGAGCCCUGGCCCCUGUCACCUGCUGGAUGGAUGUUCCUUGAGAAAGAAAUUUCUACUGUGUUCUAGAGCUAGCUUUGUUUUCAACUGAUCCGCUGGGCAAUUGCCCUUCUGCAUCUGGAUUCUCCAGUCACAUCCUGACCCAUCCGUGGCUGGAAGGAGGCUCCUGGCAGGAGGUGUGUCAGCUGCCUCUCUAUCCCAGAGUUGCAGAAUCCCAGAACUCACAGGACAUGCAGACUCCAAAAUCCAAUUCCCUUGUUUUGCUGGUGGGUCAACGGAGGCUGGGAGGAGGACUGUCAGUUGUUGCUUGGAGUCACGGAAGUUCUUACAGUAGCAAUUUCUUGACCUUUGUUGUUACAAUUACCUGGAAGAGCUUUUAAGAAAGACAGGUGCCUGGUCCCCAUGCUAAGAGACUGCAGUUCCAUGGGUUCAGGAUGGAAACUGGGCACAGAAUUUGUGGAGGUCCCCUGGGGACGCUCAUGGGCAGCCAAGGAUGAGACCCACUGACAUGGUUGAAGCGCAUUGCCCCUGCUGCUGAAGAGCCGUCUCGGCUCCCCUUGGACAUGGGUGGUGGCGGCAUCCUGAACCCGUGAGCUGGGUGUUAAGUCUCCCAAUCCCUCCUGCCCCCAGCCAGAAGAGCCUGGCCCACAGCGGUGCAGUGGGAACACCAGGCUGCUCCGAGAUGCCUUUAGAAAGUUCCUCAACAGGCCUCACCUGGAAGCCUCUGCUUAACUGGAAGGAGCUUUAAUUUUUUGAUUUUUCUUUUUAAAGAUUUAUUUAUUUACUUAUUUGAGACACAGAGAGACAGAGAGACAGAGAGAAGGUGCUUGAGUGCAUACCCGAGUAGGGGGGGCAGAGGGAGAGAAUCUUCAAGGAGACUCCCCGCUGAGCGAGAAGCCUGACACGGGGCACAAUCCCACGACCCAUGAGAUCAUGACGCGAGCCGAAACCAAGAGUUGGACGCUCAACCGACUGAGCCACCCAGGCGGCCCUAGAAGGAGGUUUUAAAGGCUAAAGGCCGUCUGUGAACAUAGGGAGCUCUGCUCUAAUCAGAAGCGCGCUCCCCAGGGCCUGGGGAAUGGGGGGAGAUGGGAACAUGGGGCCCAUGAGCAGAGAUGGGAGAGUACAUGGAGGAAACUUCCUUCCAUGUUGGUGCUCCCAGGGGAGGAGUAGGGGGCAGUAGGGGGCAGGAGGGGGAGGAGGACUAUAAACUCAUCUGCUGAGUCCCUCUCUCAGGGAUUCUAAUUCAUCUGCUCUUUUUCUGUUUGGGGGACAAGCACAUGGCCUGUAGCCUAUGCUCUUUCAUUUACAUUAAGCCUUUUAGUGGGAGAAAGAACUGCAAAAGCAACAGUCCUUCCGUUCUCUUGGGCUGCCUGUGAAAUCAAGCCUGGAACAGCCUUCCCCUGAGUCCCACUCUGCUGCCCUGCCCGUCACCUUUUCCUUUUCUAAUUUGUUCUGUUUCUUCUCACAUCCCCACUCCUGGGCUCCCAUGUAUAGCUGUGCAAGUUGUGGACUGCACAACCGCCCCUGCC